GACGAACGCUGGCGGCGUGCUUAACACAUGCAAGUCGAACGGACAGCCUCUGCCGUUGUGGGGUGCCCGGGUGGCGAACGGUUACGUAACACGUGAGUAACUUCCCCUUACCCUUCGGAAAACUUGAGAAAACUGGGUGUGAUACCCGCUCCGAGCUCCCGCUGCAAGGCUUGGGUUGGUAGGUUUCGGCGGUGGGGGCAGGAGCUGCAGGUUAGCAGCUUGGCGGUGGGGUAGAGGCAUAGCAAGCCUUUGACGGGUAGUCGGCGUGCGAGGGUGACCGGCGACAUUGGAAAUGAGAUACGGCCCAAAGGGCUGCAGGAGGCAGCAGUGGGGAAUAAUGCACAAUGGGCUGAGGCCUGAUGCAGCAACGCCGCGUGCGGGAUGACGGCUUGCGAGUUGUAAACCCCGGUCGCAAGGGACGAGGCGUGAGUGACGGUAAUGUGUAAAGAAGCACCGGCUAACUACGUG
rnacentral:rRNA from 1 species